rnacentral:lncRNA from 1 species
GGAAUUCAACACGAUUUGUCUAGUCCUCGCUCGCCAUGGCAGAAUGGACUUGCGGAACGGGCAAAUCAGACAUUGCUUCAAGGCUUAAAACCUUGCUGCAUGAUGCCAAUCUUCCAGAGAGUUAUUGGGCCGAAUCUCUCGCGUGUUUUGUUUACAGAUACAAUCGCAUAUUAACAUCAGCGAUUGUAUGUAACCACUAUGAGAAGAUGUUUGGCAAGAAGCCAUACAUCAAACACAUGAAGAUUUUUGGUUCUGACAUGUGGGUUCGCUCACCACAAAACUCCAAGUUAGACAAGCGUGGAUUGCAUGGAAUCUUUCUAGGUUAUCAGAAAGGGUCUUACAGAAUAAUGAUGACUGACUCUAAGACAAUUAAGCUCACGAGAAGUGUUGAGUACAAUGCAAAGUGGGGGAGAAUGUGGGAAUUUUCCAAUGUUAUCCUGAUGACGGUGAUGAGACUGAGGAUAGUCAAAAGCAACCACAACAGCCCACACCCACUGAUGAAGGUUCUGAGUCUGAAUCUGAAACUGAAUCGGGUGAUUCAGAGGAUUUCAAGAGUGCGAAAGCCUCUAUGCGACCCUCUGAAAGCUCUGAUCAAGAAUUGGAGGAACCAUUGUUCACAAUAGGUCGUUUUUCUCCUAAGAAGGAAGAGGAGAGUGUUGAAGACUUAAGGCUAAUUCGUAGGUCACAGAGAGCUACAAAAGGCAAACCUCCAAAGAGAUUUGCUGAUGAGUUUGCUAAGAUAGCAGUAACAGCUGUUAAAAGCUCCAAGAAGGUAUUUGAACCUUCAAGUUUCCAAGAAAUCCAGGGUUUGGAUUCAAAGGAAGCUGAGCCAUGGUUAAAUGCCAUGAAGGCUGAGCUUGAUUCCUUAGAAAGGAACAAAACAUGGGAGCUAGUUCCAGUAGUUCCAGGAAUGAAACUGCUUGGAAGCAAAUGGGUCUUCAAAGCGAAGACAGAUCAAAAUGGCAAGAUAGUCAGACACAAAGCCAGAUUGGUAGCCAGAGGUUUUGCACAGGUACCAGGUCAAGACUAUCACGAGACCUAUUCACCCACAGUGAGAUAUGAAAGCAUUAGGCUUAUGCUCAAGCUAGCUGCAGAGGAAAAUCUACACAUUAGUCACCAUGAUAUUAAUACAGCUUUUCUGUACGGAUCUCUAGAUGAAUCACUUUAUAUGCUUCCACCUGAUGGCGUACAGGUAAAACAGGGAUUUGUUUGUGCUCUGAAGAAAUCCCUUUAUGGUCUCAAACAAAGUGCACGGUGUUGGCACACAAAACUCACUGAAGUAUUGUUUUCUCUAGGUUUUCAGCAAGGGAAAGCUGAUCCAUGUGUAUUUGUCAAAGAGGAGGGGCAAAAGAAACUGUACUGUUUGUUUUAUGUUGAUGAUUUAUUAUUCUUUUGGAAAGAUGUCGCAAUGUACAAUAGCGCCCUAGCUCAACUGAAAGAGCACUUUGACAUGAAAGAUCUUGGUGAGGUAAACAACUACCUAUCUCUGGAAAUAGAGAGAGAUCAAGAUGGUAACAUUCUAGUACACCAGUCACGGAAAAUUGCUGAUGUGUUAAGCAAACUAAAUCUGAUGGAUGCUAACCCUGUAGACACACCGAUGACAACAGGUUAUCAGGUAGAUGACACUGAAGAAGCAUUUUCUGACACUACACUGUACAGGAGUGUGCUAGGCAAGCUAAACUUCAUUGCCAGAUGUUCAAGACCAGACAUUGCUGUUAGCUGUAAUUUGCUAAGCAGACAAGUCAACAAUCCUAGUGUCAAGGAUUGAAAGCUCUGAAACGCAUAGCGCGGUAUUUGAAAGGCACUAUGCAUUACAGACUGAGAUUUAACAAUCAGAAGUCUGGUGGUCUUGAGAUAUUUGCAGAUGCAAGUUUUGGAAGUGACGCUACAGACAGGAAAAGUACGUCUGGAGUUUGCUACAUGUACAAUCAGGGUCUGUUUGAUUGGUCAUGCAAGAAGCAAACAACAGUUAGCUUAAGUACUUGUGAAGCUGAACUGAAUGCACUGUCUUAUUCACUUAAGGAUUGUGAAUGGUUAGUUACAAUUGUGCAAAGAUAUGAAAAUUCCUGUCAAAUGUCCAAUCCAGGUUUACCAGGACAACAAAGCAUGUUUGGCUUUGCUGAAGUCUGAAGGUUGUAAGCAAAGCACAAAGCACUUGCAAUUAAAGUUGCAGCAUGCUAGGGAAUGUAUUCAGAAGGGACUCGUAACGGUGUCCUAUAUGCCAGGUAAUGAAAUUCCUGCUGAUGUAUUGUCCAAGAUUGUAUCAAGGGAUCAACACUGUACCUAUGUGCAGAAGUUGGGUUUGUACUGAUAUUGUACGAACACGCUGCCCAGUGAUGUUCACAGAAAGGGGGAGGAUGUUGGUUUCUAUUUCCUUCACUGAGCAGCAACUGCAGUCACAAGACAGGUGUUUACAUUCCACAGUCUGUACUGUUGGGUUUUCUCACGGGAAAGGGAGACUGGAUGUGACGUACACUGGUUUCCUGUUAUUCACUGUCUGUGUGAUUCUCUCCAAGCUGUCGAGGAGAGAGGAUGCAUUUUUCUGCUCCGGCAGGGCAAGAUGUCUUUCUGUAAUAUACCAGCUUUGAACUGUAAAUAAAGCAAUAAAGAGUAUGUACCA